rnacentral:rRNA from 1 species
AGAGUUUGAUCAUGGCUCAGGAUGAACGCUGGCGGUCUGCUUAACACAUGCAAGUCGAACGAAUCCCUUCGGGGAUUAGUGGCGGACGGGUGAGUAACGCGUGAGAAUCUACCAAAAGGACUGGGACAACCACUGGAAACGGUGGCUAAUACCGGAUGAGCCGCAACGUAAAAGAGGAAACUCGCCUUUUGAAGAGCUCGCGUCUGAUUAGCUGGUUGGUGAGGUAAAGGCUCACCAAGGCGACGAUGCGUAGCUGGUCUGAGAGGAUGAUCAGCCACACUGGGACUGAGACACGGCCCAGACUCCUACGGGAGGCAGCAGCCAGGAAUCUUGGGCAAUGGGCGAAAGCCUGACCCAGCAACACCGUGUGGGCGAUGAAGGCCUUCGGGUCGUAAAGCCCUGUUGAUAGGGACGAAGGGCGAAGGGUUAAUAGCCUCUAGCUUGACGGUACCUUUCGAGGAAGCCCCGGCUAACUACGUGCCAGCAGCCGCGGUAAUACGUAGGGGGCGAGCGUUGUCCGGAAUUAUUGGGCGUAAAGAGCGUGUAGGCGGUUCGGUAAGUCUGUCGUGAAAUUCUGGGGCUCAACCCCGGGCGUGCGAUGGAUACUGCCGGGCUAGAGGGUGGUAGAGGCGAGUGGAAUUCCCGGUGUAGCGGUGAAAUGCGCAGAUAUCGGGAGGAACACCAGUAGCGAAGGCGGCUCGCUGGGCCACACCUGACGCUGAGACGCGAAAGCUAGGGGAGCGAACAGGAUUAGAUACCCCCGUAGUCC